GAUGAAGAACGUAGCGAAAUGCGAUAAGUAAUGUGAAUUGCAGAAUUCAGUGAAUCAUCGAAUCUUUGAACGCACAUUGCGCCCGCCAGUAUUCUGGCGGGCAUGCCUGUUCGAGCGUCAUUUCAACCAUCAAGCCCCCGGCUUGUGUUGGGGACCUGCGGCUGCCGCAGGCCCUGAAAAGCAGUGGCGGGCUCGCUGUCACACCGAGCGUAGUAGCAUACAUCUCGCUCUGGGCGUGCUGCGGGUUCCGGCCGUUAAACCACCUUCAUAACCCAAGGUUGACCUCGGAUCAGGUAGGAAGACCCGCUGAACUUAAGCAUAUCAAUAAGAGGAGGA
rnacentral:misc_RNA from 1 species